rnacentral:misc_RNA from 1 species
GAAAUGCGAUAAGUAGUGUGAAUUGCAGAAUUCAGUGAAUCAUCGAAUCUUUGAACGCACAUUGCGCCCCUUGGUAUUCCAUGGGGCAUGCCUGUUCGAGCGUCAUUUGUACCCUCAAGCUCUGCUUGGUGUUGGGUGUUUGUCCCCGUCUCCGCGCGUGGACUCGCCCCAAAGUGAUUGGCAGCCGGCGUACUGGUCCCGGAGCGCAGCACAUGUCGCGCAAACGAGUGCCUUGGUACGGCGGCGUCCAUAAGCCCCUCUCUCACGUUCUUGACCUCGGAUCAGGUAGGGAUACCCGCUGAACUUAAGC